rnacentral:lncRNA from 1 species
GGUCCGUGUUUUGUGCAUAUGCUCGUAGACCUGGGAGGAGUCCAUUUCGCAAGAAGUCCAUCUGGUUCAUAUAAUAUUCUGAAAACAUCCUCCCUUUCCUGUGGAAUACCUUCCUACUCGUCGAUGAUCCAUGAAUUUCUAAGACAUAAUUGUCUUCUCCACAUAAACUUGGAUGAUUUUGAAGUUUUGCGGACAAGCAUGCAUGUCAUUACAAAUGCUUCACUUAAUCAAUUUUAUUAUCAAUUCAUAAGUUUUCAGCGUCUAUUUACUUUUCCACGCACUUGAAUAUACUGUGAUUUUGCACGGUGAAGCAAAAGGUUGUUUUGCAUCAGUUAAGCUCAGAAGGGACGCUCCUUGCAAAGAAAAGAAAAGAAAAAAAAAACCUCAGAUUGGGACGCUUGGGUCAAGCUUUUGGUCUCGGCCCAAGCUCGCAGCGGCUCAAACCGGCUCAGCCGAAGACAGUAAGCCCGAGCUGAGCCUCCAUUUCUGGCCUGUUCAGUAGUCCGGCUCGGCCCGGUCUGGCUCGAUGCGACGGCCCGGAGUUUUCUCAUCUUCUCCUGACACAGUUCCUCUCCGCCAGGAUCCCCGCUUGCCCCCCUGCGCAGCUUGAUCGCAGAAUCGCUGCCGCGACCGCUCACCUCUGUAGCCGCCGCCGCUCCCUACGCGACUGGCUCGCCUGCAGCCUCGGACCGAGCUGGCUCUGCUCGUCGACGGCAGCCUCGGGACGAGCAUGGCUCGGCUUGUGUCCACCCUUGGAAAUAAUGGACUGCCGCCGGCCCCACGUACAACAUGGC